AUGGCGAUGCGGCCCAUGUCCGAGAUGUCGCCGCCGCCGGCGCCGUCUGACCAGAGAGACGCUGUCAUAGAGGAGCUCCGGAAGGGCUCUCAGCUUGCGGAGUUCCUCCGGCAGCAGGUGGAGCUCAUCCCGGAGGACAGCCGCCGUGACGCCGCGCUGGCCAACGUGAGCGACAUCACCACGGCCCUGGCGUCGUCACUCUCUGUGCUCCAGUCGGAGAGAGAGCAGUACUACUGCUCCUCCUCCUCCUCCGACGCCGGCCAUGCUUCCGGGGCCUCCGGUGGUGGCGGGGUGCGAAACGGCGUAGUCGCACGCACCAGGAACAGGAAGGCGAAGCAUCGGCGAGGCACCUAUGGCGAGGAGCUCCCAAUCAAGGAGAUACUAACCAAGGCACCAGAAAAUGAUCGAUUCCACUGGAGGAAAUAUGGGGAGAAGAAGAUCCUCCAUGCUGAUUUUCCAAGGUUAUACUACAGAUGCGGAUAUAGCGACGAGCACAAGUGCCCGGCGAAGAAGUACGUGCAGCAGCAAAACAGCAGCGACCCGCCCAUGUUCUUGGUCACCCUCAUCAACGACCACACAUGCGAUACUUUGUUCCCAGAUGAAGACCAAGACCAACCACCCAGCAGCUCAAGCAGCGCUAAUAACUCGCAGAUGCUCGACUUCUCCAAAGCGUCGCUCUCUUCGGCUGUUGGUGUCUCGAGAUUGAAGGAGGAGGAAGACGCGGACAUGUCCGUGACCGUGCCCAGCUACAACUACACGUAUGAUGAGCUGUCUUCUUCCUCGCUGCCGUUCCUGUCGCCCAAGCAGUGGGAGAUGGAAAUGGAGGUCAAGUCACUUUUUCGUCGUCACUCUGGGGAUGGUAACUAG
rnacentral:rRNA from 1 species